rnacentral:lncRNA from 1 species
CUACCACAGAAAUGCUAACAGAGGAAGACAUAGUUAACGAAGUCAAAGGGGGGUAAUAUCGCGGACAUACAAGAUGAAGAUGAUGACGUAUGAAGACAACGAGAUCGAGGAACCAGUACCUAGUUUGAGGGAGGCUCUUGAUGUCAUUAGAAUUAUUAACCGAUUUUACGAGGCAGAUUCCGAAGGAAAUGAAAAUAUUGGCGCAGUAAAGGCGAUCAAAAAAGAUUUGGAAAAGCAGUAUUUACAACGACGUGUAAAACAAAAAAAAAUCAUUGAUUUCUUUGCUUAAUAUACGUUUCGCUUCAUUUUUGUUCAUUGUAUAAGAUCAUAAUUUCUG